GCGUGAGUGAUGAAGGCCUUAGGGUUGUAAAGCUCUUUCGGCGGGGACGAUGAUGACGGUACCCGCAGAAGAAGCCCCGGCUAACUUCGUGCCAGCAGCCGCGGUAAUACGAAGGGGGCGAGCGUUGUUCGGAAUUACUGGGCGUAAAGGGCGCGCAGGCGGCUCUGAAAGUCAGAUGUGAAAGCCCCGGGCUUAACCUGGGAAUUGCAUUUGAUACUCUGGAGCUUGAGUACGGGAGAGGAGAGUGGAAUUCCCAGUGUAGAGGUGAAAUUCGU
rnacentral:rRNA from 1 species